rnacentral:rRNA from 1 species
AUUGAACGCUGGCGGUAGGCCUAACACAUGCCAGUCGAACGGCAGCACAGUAAGAGCUUGCUCUUACGGGUGGCGAGUGGCGGACGGGUGAGGAAUACAUCGGAGUCUACUUUUUCGUGGGUGAUAACGUAGGGAAACUUACGCUAAUACCGCAUACGACCUACGGGUGAAAGCAGGGGAUCUUCGGACCUUGCGCGAUUGAAUGAGCCGAUGUCGGAUUAGCUAGUUGGCGGGGUAAAGGCCCACCAAGGCGACGAUCCGUAGCUGGUCUGAGAGGAUGAUCAGCCACACUGGAACUGAGACACGGUCCAGACUCCUACGGGAGGCAGCAGUGGGGAAUAUUGGACAAUGGGCGAAAGCCUGAUCCAGCCAUACCGCGUGGGUGAAGAAGGCCUUCGGGUUGUAAAGCCCUUUUGUUGGGAAAGAAAAGCAGCAGGUUAAUACCCCGCUGUUCUGACGUUACCCAAAGAAUAAGCACCGGCUAACUUCGUG